AGUGAACGCUGGCGGUAGGCCUAACACAUGCAAGUCGAACGGCAGCACAGUAAGAGCUUGCUCUUACGCGCGGCGAGUGGUGGCCGGGUGAGGAACACCUUGGCACCUACUUUUUCGUGGGGGAGAACGUAGGGAAAAUCACGCAAAUAUCGCAUACGACCUCAGGGUGAAAGCAGAGCAUCUUCGGACAUUGCGCGAUUGACUGCGUAGUUGUCGGAUUAGCUUGUUGGCGGGGUCCAGGCCUACCAAGGCGACGAUCCGUAACUGGUCUGAGAGGAUAAUCAGCCACACUGGAACUGAAACACGGUCCGGACUCCAACGGGAGGCAACGCAGGGGAAUAUUGGACUAUGGGCGGGAGCCUAAUCCAGCCAUGCCGCGUGGGGGAAAAAAACCUUCGCGUUUUAAAGCCCUUUUGUUUGGAAAGAAGAACAACAAGUUAAAACCCUACUGUUCUGACGGUACCCAAUGAAUAAGCACCGGCUAACUACGUG
rnacentral:rRNA from 1 species